CUAUUUUAAAUAUCAAUAACUUUAUUUUCUUUCUAAAUUUACCUGCCACAUUAUCGAUACUAUGAUUUUUUUUUGUAUACUUAUAUUAUUCGUAUGCUAUAAACCGAUUAAUGGAUAUGUCAAAUGUUAUAGUUGUGGCACGUUUCCAACAUCUGGCGCAUUAGAAAAAUUAUAUGGUGGUCCACCAGCACAAGCAGCUUGUCCAGAACCUUUUGAAAAAAAAAUUGGAGUGGGAGAAUCAAUAUGUAAUGGUUUUUGUCGGAAAACUGUUUACAGAACAGAUAAGAAAUAUUAUACUGCUCGGGGAUGCAGUCCAUUAUGUUAUGCACAAGAAGAAGGAGAUGUAAUGAAAACAUUUUGCUGCAAUACAGACCAUUGUAAUGUAGCAGGAGCACACCGUCCA